rnacentral:rRNA from 1 species
AACGAACGCUGGCGGCAGGCUUAACACAUGCAAGUCGAGCGCCCCGCAAGGGGAGCGGCAGACGGGUGAGUAACGCGUGGGAAUCUACCUAUCACUACGGAACAACUCCGGGAAACUGGAGCUAAUACCGUAUACGUCCGAGAGGAGAAAGAUUUAUCGGUGAUAGAUGAGCCCGCGUUGGAUUAGCUAGUUGGUGGGGUAAUGGCCUACCAAGGCGACGAUCCAUAGCUGGUCUGAGAGGAUGAUCAGCCACACUGGGACUGAGACACGGCCCAGACUCCUACGGGAGGCAGCAGUGGGAAUAUUGGACAAUGGGCGAAAGCCUGAUCCAGCCAUGCCGCGUGAGUGAUGAAGGCCUUAGGGUUGUAAAGCUCUUUCACCGGUGAAGAUAAUGACGGUAACCGGAGAAGAAGCCCCGGCUAACUUCGUGCCAGCAGCCGCGGUAAU